GGUACGAGAGAGGGAUUAGGGUUUUUAGGUUUUCAAAAAAAAAUUAGGUCUUGGGCGUUAGGGUUUGUGGGCUUGUAAUUUGUGUAGUGCAUUGGGCCUUUUUUGUAAUUGGACUUUGGACUUUAUUUGAUUUUUAUUUUGUUUAUUUAUUUUUUUUUGUUUCUUACUUGGGCUCGGGCUAAAUUGGCCUAUUACAGCUGCCCCUCUUCGCUCGUUAUCGUGUAACGAGAAUGGAAUAAAAACUUUAAAAAAGACCAAUUUUGCCUGGUCUUGCCGAAUCUCGACUUCUUUGGUGUUUCUCUUUUCC
rnacentral:lncRNA from 1 species